CACAUGCAAGUCGAACGGAGCUGAGAGGAGCUUGCUUUUCUUAGCUUAGUGGCGAACGGGUGAGUAACGCGUGAGUAACCUGCCCUGGAGUGGGGGACAACAGUUGGAAACGACUGCUAAUACCGCAUAAGCCCACGGCCCGGCAUCGGGCUGAGGGAAAAGGAUUUAUUCGCUUCAGGAUGGACUCGCGUCCAAUUAGCUAGUUGGUGAGGUAACGGCCCACCAAGGCGACGAUUGGUAGCCGGACUGAGAGGUUGAACGGCCACAUUGGGACUGAGACACGGUCCAGACUCCUACGGGAGGCAGCAGUGGGGGAUAUUGCACAAUGGGGGAAACCCUGAUGCAGCGACGCCGCGUGGAGGAAGAAGGUUUUCGGAUUGUAAACUCCUGUCGUUAGGGACGAUAAUGACGGUACCUAACAAGAAAGCACCGGCUAACUACGUGCCAGCAGCCGCGGUAAAACGUAGGGUGCAAGCGUUGUCCGGAAUUACUGGGUGUAAAGGGAGCGCAGGCGGACCGGCAAGUUGGAAGUGAAAACUAUGGGCUCAACCCAUAAAUUGCUUUCAAAACUGCUGGCCUUGAGUAGUGCAGAGGUAGGUGGAAUUCCCGGUGUAGCGGUGGAAUGCGUAGAUAUCGGGAGGAACACCAGUGGCGAAGGCGACCUACUGGGCACCAACUGACGCUGAGGCUCGAAAGCAUGGGUAGCAAACAGGAUUAGAUACCCUGGUAGUCCAUGCCGUAAACGAUGAUUACUAGGUGUUGGAGGAUUGACCCCUUCAGUGCCGCAGUUAACACAAUAAGUAAUCCACCUGGGGAGUACGACCGCAAGGUUGAAACUCA
rnacentral:rRNA from 1 species